UACGAAGGGGGCUAGCGUUGCUCGGAAUCACUGGGCGUAAAGCGCACGUAGGCGGAUUGUUAAGUCAGGGGUGAAAUCCUGGAGCUCAACUCCAGAACUGUCUUUGAUACUGGCGAUCUUGAGUCCGGGAGAGGUGAGUGGAACUGCGAGUGUAGAGGUGAAAUUCGUAGAUAUUCGCAAGAACACCAGUGGCGAAGGCGGCUCACUGGCCCGGUACUGACGCUGAGGUGCGAAAGCGUGGGGAGCAAACAGG
rnacentral:rRNA from 1 species